CAGCAGCCGCGGGAAUACGUAGGGUGCGAGCGUUAAUCGGAAUUACUGGGCGUAAAGCGUGCGCAGGCGGUUGUGUAAGACAGGUGUGAAAUCCCCAGGCUUAACCUGGGAACUGCGCUUGUGACUGCACAGCUAGAGUAUGGCAGAGGGGGGUGGAAUUCCACGUGUAGCAGUGAAAUGCGUAGAGGUGUGGAGGGACACCGAUGGCGAAGGCAGCCCCCUGGGCCAAUACUGACGCUCAUGCACGAAAGCGUGGGGAGCAAACAGGAUUAGAUACCCCAGUAGUCCCUGUCUCUUAUAC
rnacentral:rRNA from 1 species